rnacentral:misc_RNA from 1 species
UUAAGUUCAGCGGGUAUUCCUACCUGAUCCGAGGUCAACCUUGUGAUGAAACAUGUGGUUACAGACGGGAGCGGUCGGCCACGUCAAUGCGUGCUUCAAGAGCUCGUUGCAUCUAGGGUCCAACACGACUCCGUCAUUAUCUUUGAGACCCGCCGGUGACGACGAGAUCCAACUGCAAGCGGGGGCUUGAGGGUUGAUAA